rnacentral:rRNA from 1 species
AGUGGCGGACGGGUGAGUAACGCGUGGGUAACCUGCCUCACACAGGGGGAUAACAGUUGGAAACGACCGCUAAUACCGCAUAAGCCGGAAGGAUCGCAUGAUCCGGCCGGAAAAGAUUUAUCGGUGUGAGAUGGACCCGCGUCUGAUUAGCCAGUUGGCAGGGUAACGGCCUACCAAAGCGACGAUCAGUAGCCGGCCUGAGAGGGUGAACGGCCACAUUGGGACUGAGACACGGCCCAAACUCCUACGGAAGGCAGCAG